AAAGUAGCUUGCUACUUUUGCCGGCGAGUGGCGAACGGGUGAGUAAUGUAUCGGAACGUGCCCAGUAGCGGGGGAUAACUACGCGAAAGCGUGGCUAAUACCGCAUACGCCCUACGGGGGAAAGGGGGGGAUCUUAGGACCUCUCACUAUUGGAGCGGCCGAUAUCGGAUUAGCUAGUUGGUGGGGUAAAGGCCUACCAAGGCGACGAUCCGUAGCUGGUUUGAGAGGACGACCAGCCACACUGGGACUGAGACACGGCCCAGACUCCUACGGGAGGCAGCAGUGGGGAAUUUUGGACAAUGGGGGAAACCCUGAUCCAGCCAUCCCGCGUGUGCGAUGAAGGCCUUCGGGUUGUAAAGCACUUUUGUCAGGGAAGAAAAGGUUUCGGAUAAUACCCGGAACUGAUGACGGUACCUGAAGAAUAAGCACCGGCUAACUACGUGCCAGCAGCCGCGGUAAUACGUAGGGUGCAAGCGUUAAUCGGAAUUACUGGGCGUAAAGCGUGCGCAGGCGGUUCGGAAAGAAAGAUGUGAAAUCCCAGGGCUCAACCUUGGAACUGCAUUUUUAACUACCGAACUAGAGUAUGUCAGAGGGGGGUGGAAUUCCACGUGUAGCAGUGAAAUGCGUAGAUAUGUGGAGGAACACCGAUGGCGAAGGCAGCCCCCUGGGAUAAUACUGACG
rnacentral:rRNA from 1 species